UACGUAGGGUGCAAGCGUUGUCCGGAAUUACUGGGCGUAAAGGGCGCGUAGGCGGCUUGGUAAGUCGGGGGUGAAAGUCAGCGGCUCAACCGCUGGACUGCCUUCGAGACUGCCUGGCUUGAGCAUGGUAGAGGCUGGCGGAAUUCCCGGUGUAGCGGUGGAAUGCGUAGAGAUCGGGAAGAACAUCGGUGGCGAAGGCGGCCAGCUGGGCCAUUGCUGACGCUGAUGCGCGACAGCGUGGGGAGCAAACAGG
rnacentral:rRNA from 1 species